rnacentral:rRNA from 1 species
AUUGAACGCUGGCGGCAGGCUUAACACAUGCAAGUCGAGCGGGGAAGAGUAGCUUGCUACUUUACCUAGCGGCGGACGGGUGAGUAAUGCUUAGGAAUCUGCCUAUUAGUGGGGGACAACAUCUCGAAAGGGAUGCUAAUACCGCAUACGUCCUACGGGAGAAAGCAGGGGAUCUUCGGACCUUGCGCUAAUAGAUGAGCCUAAGUCGGAUUAGCUAGUUGGUGGGGUAAAGGCCUACCAAGGCGACGAUCUGUAGCGGGUUUGAGAGGAUGAUCCGCCACACUGGGACUGAGACACGGCCCAGACUCCUACGGGAGGCAGCAGUGGGGAAUAUUGGACAAUGGGGGGAACCCUGAUCCAGCCAUGCCGCGUGUGUGAAGAAGGCUUUUUGGUUGUAAAGCACUUUAAGCGA